UGGGGAAUCUUGCACAAUGGGGGGCAACCCUGAUGCAGCGACGCCGCGUGAGCGAUGAAGCCCUUCGGGGCGUAAAGCUCUUUCGACCGGAACGAUAAUGACGGUACCGGGAGAAGAAGCUGCGGCUAACUACGUGCCAGCAGCCGCGGUAAUACGUAGGCAGCAAGCGUUGUUCGGAGUUACUGGGCGUAAAGAGUGCGUAGGCGGUUUUCUAAGUUCGGUGUGAAAUCUCCCGGCUUAACUGGGAGGGUGCGCCGAAGACUGGGAAGCUGGAGUGUGGGAAAGGCGGGCGGAAUUCCUGGUGUAGCGGUGAAAUGCGUAGAUAUCAGGAGGAACACCGGCGGUGUAGACGGCUUGCUAGACCAUAACUGACGCUGAGGCACGAAAGCGUGGGUAGCAAACA
rnacentral:rRNA from 1 species